UCUGCCUCUGGCUUUGCUGUUAAUGGGAUCUGCAACCAUGGGAGCUGCCCCAAGGAAGCCUGUAGCAGUGCCAUUCGGCAGGAACUAUAUGCCUACAUGGGCAUUUGAACACAUUAAAUACUUCAACGGAGGCUCUGAGAUUCAGCUCCACUUGGAUAAAUACUCUGGCACUGGUUUCCAAUCGAAAGGGUCGUACUUGUUCGGCCACUUCAGUAUGCAAAUGAAGUUGGUUCCUGGGGAUUCAGCCGGAACUGUUACUGCU
rnacentral:misc_RNA from 1 species